CAGCGCAGGCAUCGGGCGGGCCGUGUGCCACAGUUCUCUGCGAUGGGGGGAGAAAGGGAGGGGUGGGCACUGAGGAGGACUGACCCCUGCAGAAAGGAACAAGGGGACACGGGACAGGAAGGGGAUUCGCUCAAAUUCCAGCCUAUCCAUGGAUACAGGAAGCAGGGGAUGGAGAGGAGAAAGAGGGGAGCCGGGGUCCACCAACAGCCAGUGCAAAAAAAAAAAAAAAAAAACCCUGAACCACUCAUUAGGCAUUUCACCACCUGCCUGCACACCCAACCUUGCGUGCAAACACAACUACCUGAGCACAAACGCACGCGCACAGCUAACAAACUCCAAACCGCAGAGUGCUGCUUCUUUUUUUCGUUUUCUCGCUGCCUUUUCUCUUUCCAGUUUCCCCGGAUUUGAUUUUUAAUAUUAAUUAUGACAGUAAUGAUAACUAACAUUUUCUGAGAACUUGCUCUGUGCCAGGCAUUGAGGCACUAUCUCAUUUAAUUCUGAGAACAAUCUUAGAAGCUAGGAAAUGUGAUGAUCCUAUUGGAAAGGUAAAACUCACAAAAGAUAAGUGGCUCACCCAGGAUCACACAGCUAAUAAGAGGCAGAGUGCCUGGUGCCGGGGCUCACGCCUGUAAUCCCAGCACUUUGGAAGGCAGACGUGGGAGGAUCACUUGAGCUCAGGAGUUCAAUACCAGCCUGGCCAACAUAGCAAGACCUACCAAAAAACUUUUUAAAAAAAUUAUCCAGGUGUGGUGGCACAAGCCUAUAGUCCCAGCUACUUGGGAGGCUGAGGCAAGAGGAUCACUUGAGCCCAGGAAGUCGAGGUUGCAGUGAGCUAUGAUUGUGCCACUGCACUCCAGCCUGGGCAGCAGAGCAAGACCCUAUCUCAAAAAUAAAAAUAAAAAAUAAAAGAGACAGAGUGGUGAUUUGAAUCCAGAGACUAAAGCCUCAACCCCUAUAACUAAUCUGCUUCUCACUAAUAAACAAUGAAGAGCAAUAAUAUACUUCACAUGAAUGCAGUACUUUUCAUUUGAUGAUUGCAACAGCCCAGAGUGCUAUUAUUUAUCCCCAUUUAUCAAAUGAGGAAACUGAGGCUCCACAGGGAAAGUGAUUCAAAGUCAUCUAGCUAAUAAACAGUGACAGCAGAACUUAGCCUUGGGUUUGCUUACUUAAAGUCUAGAUUUCCCCUGCCCAGAAACAGGGGCAGUGGUUGGUGACUUAUUGUGACUGAGGCUAGGUCUCACAGUUCCUAAGAAUUGGAUGGGAGGUGGGGGGCAACUUUUGUCCAAGUUUCACAUUAACUUCUGGCCCCAGAUUCCUAGGGAGAGACCAGUCCAUCAGCAGGGGCCUCUCCAGCUGUACAGCUGAAUUGCCAUUUCUGGGCUGUGGGAAUUCUUCCUUGGUUCAUUAAAACUGACAGACCAAUCUCAGACACAUUUCCUUGGGCUAUAACCAGCUGGAGGCAGGUGGAGCCACCUUUGACUCUUAACAGUAGGAAAUCACUAGAAAUGGUGGUGACUGCCUGAGAAGCCCUUCAUGGCUUCCAUUUGGAGCAGAUCCAGCUCCUGGCUCCUACAAACCUAGAGGGAGCCAUGCCUUUCUUCUCACAUUUCAGUUUGAUCUUACAUCUUCCUUAAGAGACACAGAAGCAGAAAUCGUUAACUUCUCUUUUUCUUCACCAGAAGAAGCGCCUUAAAAUAGAUUUAUGCAAAUCCCACAACCUUUUCUGUAUUAACAUGUGAAAAACAGAGGAAGAAAGAAGAUCCCAGGUCACUUGGUACUUUAAACAACAACCACCAUAUAUAACCAAGGCUCACCAUGUUGCUGGCAGAGCCCAUCUCACUCCUUGGUAAGUUUGUGAACUCUAACGGGCUAUAUGUAUGCGAGAUGUAGUUUAAUUUAAAAAUUUCUGGGACAGAACAAAACAUGCUGCUGACCUACAGUAGAAUUAUUCUUCUAAACCAAAUGAAAGAAUAUUAGCAGUUAUACCUAUUUGAUUUUCAGUGCUAUGUGACCUGAAAUAGUUGGUCAGCUACAAGUGAAAUCUCAGCCACAAACAUUCCCCCAGGAAACCUUCCUUCACCCUCUUCACCCUAGCCCAGCAGAGCUGGUGGUUCCUUCCCUUCUGCCCCCACAGCACCCAUCCCUUGUUCUUGAGCUUCAUCUCUGUCUUGCAAACUUCUCUUCAUUAUAUUCCCCCUUUACCUUGAGAAUGGGGACUGUGUCUUCCCUUUCUUAUAGGCUUGGCCCCUGAUGCCAAGGUCUGCACCGCGGUGACUUAGCAGACACUUUCUGAAGGGAUUACUAAAUGAGGAAUUAUUUCAUGGCAGGGAGGAAAUCUGUCUUACCUUUAUCCAAAGAGCCAACCAUGAAGGAUCAGAGGCCUCAGUGAGCACCUGGUUAGUGCCCCUCCAUCCACAAAUGAGGAAACUGAGGCUCAGGGUGGUGAGAGAACUUUCACAUUUUACUGGGUGAGUUAAUGACAGAGUUGGAACUAGAGGCCAGGCCUCUGCCCAUUCCCCAUCACCGUGUGAGUUCAAGUUCUCAGUUAAAGAAGGAGUAACAAAAGUGUGGAAAUGUUACACAAUCUGAGGUAUGAUUCUGCAGGAUUGACUGUGGCAACCAGAAGUGUCAGAGACUUGCUGAAUCAUUGCCCACUUUCUUAUAUAGCACAAUAACUUUUCCCCCAGCUAACCAGCGGUGUUUCCUGUAUCCCAGGUGGAGAAAUAAUACACCUUAAAUAGACACGUGUUAUUUCACAAUCUUUGAAGGGAAGACAAAGGACAUUUCUGAACUCUUGAGCACUAAGAAGUAUGACUCCCACUCUGUUGGGUCAUGGCCACUCUCAGACAUCACCUGUGAGCACUGGAAACCCCACUGGCAGCCCUUGACAGUUGACAGAGUUCAUGAGAUCGAAGCAAGAGAGAGAGAGAAAAACCUUAGGCUCUAGAGAGUUUGUAGACUUCCAGCAAGGACAACGCAUGCGCAAGACCGCAAGCCCGGAGCAUCUGAGAGCAGCAGAACAGGGCCACGCGAAAACCUCCUUCAGAUCUACUAGAAAGCUCCUUCCUUGGCAUUUGGGAGAAGAGUGGGUCAUAAUAAAAUGUCCAGUUUCUUUGGAAAAGUUAUAUUCCAGUCUCAAACUAUUACCUUUUGAAAGGACAUUUAUUAGAGUUUUUCCUCAUUAUAAAAGUAAUAUGUGUUCAUUGUAGACUCUUUGGACAGCAUGGGAAAGUAUAAAGAAGACAUAUAAAAACCAUAUUUUGGUGUAUUUCCUUUAUACUAACAUUCCUGGGCAUAUUUAGAAAUAUCAAUUUUUCUCUUAACAAAAUCAGGAUUAUGCCAUGUAUACAGUUUUUUGUUGUUGUUGUGGUUGUUGUUUGUUUUGAGACAAAGUCUUGCUCUGUUGCCCAGGCUGGAGUGCAGUGGUGCGAUCUCAGUUCACUGCAACCUCCGCCUCCCAGGUUUGAGUGAUUCUCCUGCCUCAGCCUCCCAAGUAGCUGGGAUUACAGGCAUGCGCCACCAUGCCCAGUUUUUUGUUGUUUUUUCUUUGUUUUUUGAGACGAAGUCUCUCUCUGUUGCCCAGGCUGGAGUGUAGUAGCAUAACCUCAGCUCACUGCAACCUCUGCCUCUCAGGUUCAACUGAUUCUCCUGCCUCAGCCUCCCGAGUAGCUGGGACUACAGGCGCAUGCCACUGCCUAAUUUUUGUAUUUUUAAUAGAGAAGGGGUAUCACCACGUUAGCCAGGCUGGUCUCCAACUCCCGACCUCAAGUGGUCCGCCCUCCUUGGCCUCCCAAAGUGCUGGGAUUACAGGCGUGAGCCACCACGCUCAGCCUCCAUGUAUACAGUUCUGCAUCCUGCUCUUUUCAUGCAACAUUCUAUGAGAAGUUUUUUCACAUUCCAGACCAUUAAUAGCUGAAAGUUUAUUCUGAGGCUGCACUGGGUCUCCAGCUUGUACAAAUGAAGAAGGACAGAAGUAGCAGGUGGGUGCCUCCCCUUAAACUCAAUGGGCAGUGCCUCUGCCCUUUCUGAUCUUACAGCUUGGUGCUCGGCACCAACGGCACUCCGUGUCCUCAGCUGACAGCCUGGAAUCGUCUUUUCUGUUCACCCUAUAGUCUCACCACACACACACAGGCCAUUUGGAGCCUGGCUACUUGAGCUCAGCAAGGGGCCUCUUGCCCUUUUCUAAUCAGUCAGCUUAAGUGUUCCCUCAAAUACAUUCAGAUUGUUUGUUUGUUUUCCCUAAUAUUCAAACCACUUAUUUUAACUAAGCAAACUCGAAGCAUAUUGGACAACCAGAAAACUCAUGGCAUUUGGGAGAAGAGUGGGUCAUAAUAAAAUGUCCAGUUCUGGGAGUGAGGUUGUCUUUUUGGUCACCUGGAAGUAAGCUGGCAUCUGAUCUAAUGUUUAUAUUUUUGUGUAUGUCACUCUCUCUUUGUGUAUGUGUCUACGGAGAUAUUGCUGGAUAUGUCAAUAUAUGGAUAUACCAGACAUAAAUAUAGUUACAAACAAAUAUAUGGCAAAAAAGUCACUGUAGUUCAGCUUAAAAUCCUCACUUUUCACAUCAUUGUCUGACUAUUAAAUUUGUAUGUAAACAAAGCAAAGAAAAUUAUGUUUUCCUCAUUUUCUUUUAAAAUGGUUAUAAAUAUCACUGGGAAAGCAUUAUCAAUUGUUAUAAAUCAUUAAGAGGCAGCAGUAGCACAGUGUACAAGCUCUGGAACUAGGCCACUAGAGUUCGAAUCCCAUCCCUCUUACAAUUUACCAGCUACAUGACCUUGGGUAAAUUACUUAACCUCUCUAUGCCUCAGUCUGUUCAUCUGCAAAUGGGACUAAGAAUCAUUCCUAUCUCAUAGGAUUACUAUUAGGAUUAAAUUAAUUAAUUACUUAAAACAGUGGCUGCUACAUACUAGGUGCUCUUUAAAUGUAAGAUGUUAUUUUCAGUGGUGUCUUUGUAAAGAUUAAUGACUAGCUUCCAUCUUAAAUUGUUCAUAUUUUUCACAUUUGCUUUAAAAAACACAAGGUGAGGGCGGUGGGGGAGUGAAGAUGCUCAAUGGAUGCAAAAAAAUAGAAAGAAUGAAAAAGACCUAGUAUUUGAUAGCACAACGAGGAGACUAUAGUUAGUAAUAAUUUAACUGUACGUUUAAAAAUAACCAAAAGAGUGUAAUUGGGUUGUUUGUAACACAAAGAAUAAAUGUUUGAGGGGAUGCAUACCCCA